UCCUACGGGGGGCAGCAGUGGGGAAUAUUGCACAAUGGGGGAAACCCUGAUGCAGCGACGCCGCGUGAAGGAUGAAGUAUUUCGGUAUGUAAACUUCUAUCAGCAGGGAAGAAAAUGACGGUACCUGACUAAGAAGCCCCGGCUAACUACGUGCCAGCAGCCGCGGUAAUACGUAGGGGGCAAGCGUUGUCCGGAUUUACUGGGUGUAAAGGGCGUGUAGGCGGGAAAGCAAGUCAGAUGUGAAAACCAUGGGCUCAACCUGUGGCCUGCAUUUGAAACUGUUUUUCUUGAGUACUGGAGAGGCA
rnacentral:rRNA from 1 species